UGGAUUGGAGGACGAGAUGAUUGAGCAUGCCCUACUUCGCUAUCCGCGGGUGUACUUGAUCUAGGAGAUGGCAAAAGGUCAACCCUAGAGAGCUAUGACUGACUCCUGACUUUCCUUAUUUUUGGACAUGAUCCAUCAUUGCACGGUAGAGGAUCAGGCUGUUGGUGGCAGGAUGGCAUAUAUUGCUUAUCACAUCUAGUCGUCCAAGAAUACCUUAGUUUUCGACAUCAAGAUUGUGCCUGCGCAUCG
rnacentral:lncRNA from 1 species